rnacentral:rRNA from 1 species
GGUUAAGUUAGAAAGGGCGCACGGUGAAUGCCUUGGCACUAGGAGCCGAUGAAGGACGGGACUAACACCGAUAUGCUUCGGGGAGCUGUAAGUGAGCUUUGAUCCGGAGAUUUCCGAAUGGGGAAACCCACUGUUCGUAAUGGAACAGUAUCUUUAUCUGAAUACAUAGGAUAUUGAAGGCAGACCCGGGGAACUGAAACAUCUAAGUACCCGGAGGAAGAGAAAGCAAAUGCGAUUUCCUGAGUAGCGGCGAGCGAAACGGAAUUAGCCCAAACCAAGAGGCUUGCCUCUUGGGGUUGUAGGACACUCUAUACGGAGUUACAAAGGAACGAAGUAAAUGAAGCGACCUGGAAAGGUCCGUCGAAGAAGGUAACAACCCUGUAGUUGAAACUUCGUUCCCUCUUGAGUGGAUCCUGAGUACGGCGGAACACGUGAAAUUCCGUCGGAAGCUGGGAGGACCAUCUCCCAAGGCUAAAUACUACCUAGUGACCGAUAGUGAACCAGUACCGUGAGGGAAAGGUGAAAAGCACCCCGGAAGGGGAGUGAAAGAGAUCCUGAAACCGUGUGCCUACAAGUAGUCAGAGCCCGUUAACGGGUGAUGGCGUGCCUUUUGUAGAAUGAACCGGCGAGUUACGAUCCCAUGCAAGGUUAAGCUGAUAAGGCGGAGCCGUAGCGAAAGCGAGUCUGAAUAGGGCGUUUAGUAUGUGGUUGUAGACCCGAAACCAGGUGAUCUACCCAUGUCCAGGGUGAAGUUCAGGUAACACUGAAUGGAGGCCCGAACCCACGCACGUUGAAAAGUGCGGGGAUGAGGUGUGGGUAGCGGAGAAAUUCCAAUCGAACCUGGAGAUAGCUGGUUCUCUCCGAAAUAGCUUUAGGGCUAGCCUCAUGUUGUGAGAGUCUUGGAGGUAGAGCACUGAUUGGACUAGGGGCCCCCAACGGGUUACCGAAUUCAGUCAAACUCCGAAUGCCAAAGACUUAUCCAUGGGAGUCAGACUGCGAGUGAUAAGAUCCGUAGUCAAAAGGGAAACAGCCCAGACCACCAGCUAAGGUCCCCAAGUAUACGUUAAGUGGAAAAGGAUGUGGAGUUGCUUAGACAACCAGGAUGUUGGCUUAGAAGCAGCCACCAUUUAAAGAGUGCGUAAUAGCUCACUGGUCGAGUGACUCUGCGCCGAAAAUGUACCGGGGCUAAACGUAUCACCGAAGCUGUGGAUUGACAUCUUUGAUGUCAGUGGUAGGAGAGCGUUCUAAGUGCUGUGAAGUCAGACCGUAAGGACUGGUGGAGCGCUUAGAAGUGAGAAUGCCGGUAUGAGUAGCGAAAGACAAGUGAGAAUCUUGUCCACCGAAUGCCUAAGGUUUCCUGAGGAAGGCUCGUCCGCUCAGGGUUAGUCGGGACCUAAGCCGAGGCUGAAAAGCGUAGGCGAUGGCCAACAGGUUGAUAUUCCUGUACCACCUCCCCGCCGUUUGAGUAAUGGGGGGACGCAGUAGGAUAGGGUAAGCGCGCUGCUGGAUAUGCGCGUUCAAGCAGUUAGGCUGAUGAGUAGGCAAAUCCGCUCAUCAUAAAGGCUGAGCUGUGAUGACGAGGGAAUUAUAGUACCGAAGUUCCUGAUUCCACACUGCCAAGAAAAGCCUCUAGCGAGGCGGGAGGUGCCCGUACCGCAAACCGACACAGGUAGGCGAGGAGAGAAUCCUAAGGUGAUCGAGAGAACUCUCGUUAAGGAACUCGGCAAAAUGACCCCGUAACUUCGGGAGAAGGGGUGCUCUGGUAGGGUGUAUAGCCCGAGAGAGCCGCAGUGAAUAGGCCCAGGCGACUGUUUAGCAAAAACACAGGUCUCUGCGAAGCCGCAAGGCGAAGUAUAGGGGCUGACGCCUGCCCGGUGCUGGAAGGUUAAGAGGAGGGGUUAUCCUUUGGGAGAAGCUCUGAAUCGAAGCCCCAGUAAACGGCGGCCGUAACUAUAACGGUCCUAAGGUAGCGAAAUUCCUUGUCGGGUAAGUUCCGACCCGCACGAAAGGCGUAACGAUCUGGGCACUGUCUCAACGAGAGACUCGGUGAAAUUAUAGUACCUGUGAAGAUGCAGGUUACCCGCGACAGGACGGAAAGACCCCGUGGAGCUUUACUGUAGCCUGAUAUUGAAUUUUGGUACAGCUUGUACAGGAUAGGUAGGAGCCUGAGAAGCCGGAGCGCUAGCUUCGGUGGAGGCGUCGGUGGGAUACUACCCUGGCUGUAUUGAAAUUCUAACCCGCGGCCCUUAUCGGGCCGGGAGACAGUGUCAGGUGGGCAGUUUGACUGGGGCGGUCGCCUCCUAAAAUGUAACGGAGGCGCCCAAAGGUUCCCUCAGAAUGGUUGGAAAUCAUUCGUAGAGUGUAAAGGCACAAGGGAGCUUGACUGCGAGACCUACAAGUCGAGCAGGGACGAAAGUCGGGCUUAGUGAUCCGGUGGUUCCGCAUGGAAGGGCCAUCGCUCAACGGAUAAAAGCUACCCCGGGGAUAACAGGCUUAUCUCCCCCAAGAGUCCACAUCGACGGGGAGGUUUGGCACCUCGAUGUCGGCUCAUCGCAUCCUGGGGCUGUAGUCGGUCCCAAGGGUUGGGCUGUUCGCCCAUUAAAGCGGUACGCGAGCUGGGUUCAGAACGUCGUGAGACAGUUCGGUCCCUAUCCGUCGUGGGCGUAGGAAAUUUGAGAGGAGCUGUCCUUAGUACGAGAGGACCGGGAUGGACACACCGCUGGUGUACCAGUUGUCUUGCCAAAGGCAUCGCUGGGUAGCUAUGUGUGGACGGGAUAAGUGCUGAAAGCAUCUAAGCAUGAAGCCCCCCUCAAGAUGAGAUUUCCCAUAGCGCAAGCUAGUAAGAUCCCUGAAAGAUGAUCAGGUUGAUAGGUCAGAGGUGGAAGCGUGGCGACAUGUGUAGCUGACUGAUACUAAUCGAUCGAGGACUUAACCAA